rnacentral:misc_RNA from 1 species
UACGGAGGGGGCUAGCGUUGUUCGGAAUUACGGGGCGUAAAGGGCACGUAGGCGGAUUGUUAAGUCGGAGGUGAAAUCCUGAGGCUCAACCUCAGAAUUGCCUUCUAUACUGGCGGUCUCGAGUACGGGAGAGGUGAGUGGAUGUCCCAGUGUAGAGGUGAAAUUCGUAGAUAUGGGGAAGAACACCAGUGGCGAAGGCGGCUCACUGGCCCGGAACUGACGCUGAGGUGCAAAAGCGUGGGGAGCAAACAGG